AUUGAAAAUCUUCGGAAAUGUAAUCUGCAGAUAGUACGGUUCUCUGAUYUCUGUAAAUAAAGUGGUCUGGAAUGACACGCCGUGGAGGGUGAUAGCCCCGUUCAUAUUUACAGAAGGAAGUAAUAACUAGCUAUCCAUGAGUCGAGUUGUUUGGGAUUGCAGCUCAAAUGGGUGGUAAAUUCCAUCUAAAGCUAAAUAUGGAUGGGAAACCGAUAGCGAACAAGUACCGUGAGGGAAAGAUGAAAAGAACUUUGAAAAGAGAGUGAAAGAGUACCUGAAAUUGCUGAAAAGGAACCGAUGGGAAGCAGUGGUGGAAGUCGUAGUCUCUACGAUGUCCAGGUCAGUCUUGUUUCUUUGUGCGGGAGAAGGCAUCAAUGCAGUUUUGUAUGGUGUACCUGUCAUGCGAAGGAAUGACUCUGGCAAAAUGCUUCUCAUCAACCCGUCUUGAAACACGGACCAAGGAGUCUAACAUGUGUGCGAGUGCUCGGGACUUAAAUCCCCUGCGCGAAAUAAAAGUAAAGGCAUCUAAUGCUGAGGUAGGAGGCUAACGCCGCACUAUCGACCGACCAUGAUCUUCCGAGAGAAAGGUUUGAGUGUGAGCAUACAUGUUGGGACCCGAAAGAUGGUGAACUAUGCCCGAGUAGGACGAAGCCAGGGGAAACUCUGGUGGAGGUCCGUAGCGAUUCU
rnacentral:rRNA from 1 species